AUUGAACGCUGGCGGCAGGCCUAACACAUGCAAGUCGAGCGAGCGGCGGACGGGUGAGUAAUGUCUGGGAAACUGCCUGAUGGAGCGGGAUAACUACUGGAAACGGUAGCUAAUACCUCAUACCAUCAGAUGAACCCCUAUGGGAUUAGCUUGUAGGUAAGGUAACGGCUUACCUAGGCGACGAUCCCUAGCUGGUCUGAGAGGAUGAUCAGCCACACUGGGACUGAAAAACGGCCCAGACUCCUACGGGAGGCAGCAGUGGGGAAUAUUGCACAAUGGGCGCAAGCCUGAUGCAGCCAUGCCGCGUGUAUGAAGAAGGCCUUCGGGUUGUAAAGUACUUUCAGUCGGGAGGCGUUACCGACAGAAGAAGCACCGGCUAACUCCGUGCCAGCAGCCGCGGUAAUUC
rnacentral:rRNA from 1 species